CCUACGGGUGGCAGCAGUGAGGAAUAUUGGUCAAUGGCCGGAAGGCUGAACCAGCCAAGCCGCGUGAAGGACGAAGGUGCCAAGCAUUGUAAACUUCUUUUGUCAAGGGACAAAAUCAGGCUCGAGAGCCUGACCGAGGGUACUUGAAGAAAAAGCAUCGGCUAAUUCCGUGCCAGCAGCCGCGGUAAUACGGAGGAUGCGAGCGUUAUCCGGAUUUAUUGGGUUUAAAGGGUGCGUAGGCGGACCGUUAAGGCAGUGGGAAAAGCCCGGGGUUCAACCCUGGCGAGCCGGUGAAACUGGCUGUCUUGAGAUGUCGAGAGGUAUGCGGAAUGCGCGGUGUAGCGGUGAAAUGCUUAGAUAUUGCGCAGAACUCCGAUUGCGAAGGCAGCAUACCGGCGGCGAUCUGACGCUGAGGCACGAAAGCGUGGGUAUCGAACAGGAUUAGAUACCCGAGUAGUC
rnacentral:rRNA from 1 species